rnacentral:rRNA from 1 species
UCGAGGAUCUUCGGCAAUGGGCGAAAGCCUGACCGAGCGACGCCGCGUGUGCGAUGAAGGCCUUCGGGUUGUAAAGCACUGUCGUGGGGGAGAAAAACCGCAAGGUUUGAUCGACCCCAGGAGGAAGCACGGGCUAAGUUCGUGCCAGCAGCCGCGGUAAGACGAACCGUGCGAACGUUAUUCGGAAUCACUGGGCUUAAAGGGCGCGUAGGCGGGUCUGAAAGUCAGGGGUGAAAGCCCACGGCUCAACCGUGGAAGUGCCUCUGAUACUUCAGAUCUCGAGGGAGGUAGGGGCGUGCGGAACUUCCGGUGGAGCGGUGAAAUGCGUAGAUAUCGGAAGGAACGUCGGUGGCGAAAGCGGCGCGCUGGACCUCUUCUGACGCUGAGGCGCGAAAGCCAGGGGAGCGAACGGGAUUAGAUACCCCCGUAGUCC